GCAUAUCAAUAAGCGGAGGAAAAGAAACCAACAGGGAUUGCCCUUAGUAACGGCGAAGUGAAGCGGCAACAGCUCAAAUUUGAAAUCUGGCCUCACGGUCCGAAUUGUAAUUUGUAGAGGAUGUUUCUGGCGACGUGUCUUCCGAGUUCCCUGGAACGGGACGCCAUAGAGGGUGAGAGCCCCGUCCGGUCGUACACCUAGCCUCUGUGAAACUCCUUCGACGAGUCGAGUAGUUUGGGAAUGCUGCUCUAAAUGGGAGGUAUACGUCUUCUAAAGCUAAAUACCGGCCAGAGACCGAUAGCGCACAAGUAGAGUGAUCGAAAGAUGAAAAGCACUUUGAAAAGAGGGUUAAAUAGUACGUGAAAUUGCUGAAAGGGAAGCGCUUAUGACCAGACUUGGGCUCGGUGAAUCAUCCGGCGUUCUCGCCGGUGCACUUUGCCGUCCCAGGCCAGCAUCAGUUCGCGCCGGGGGAUAAAGGUUUCGGGAAUGUAGCUCCUUCGGGAGUGUUAUAGCCCGUUGCGUAAUACCCUGGCGUGGACUGAGGUCCGCGCUCUGCAAGGAUGCUGGCGUAAUGGUCAUCAGUGACCCGUCUUGAAACACGGACCAAGGAGUCGUCUUCGUAUGCGAGUGUUCGGGUGUCAAACCCCUACGCGUAAUGAAAGUGAACGUAGGAGAGAGCUUCGGCGCAUCUCCGACCGAUCCUGAUGUUCUCGGAUGGAUUUGAGUAAGAGCAUACGGGGCCGGACCCGAAAGAAGGUGAACUAUGCCUGUAUAGGGUGAAGCCAGAGGAAACUCUGGUGGAGGCUCGCAGCGGUUCUGACGUGCAAAUCGAUCGUUCAAAUAAUGGGCAUGGGGGCGAAAGACUAAUCGAACCUUCUAGUAGCUGGUUUCCGCCGAAGUC
rnacentral:rRNA from 1 species